rnacentral:lncRNA from 1 species
AUCUCCGACCAAUGAGGUGAUGACACAUGCAUGCGUGCAUAUAAACUAUUUAAAAGUGGGUUCCAACUGUGGGUGGCACUAUGUAACUCAAUCCAUUAUAGGGCUAUUGGUGGAUUUUUUUUUAGAAUAGACUCUGAGACUUUUAGGAAAUUUUUUCGAGAUAAGGACUUGCAAAAGUCGAGUAGUCGAAGAAGUAAGGUCUCAGACUCGCGGAAGACAAGUGAAAAGUAUCUCGAGGUUUCCCCGCUUUGAAACAAAACAAUACAAUAAGUUUUAAAAUUUCGCAAAAAUUCAGAGGGUUCCGCCAGAAAGAGUUUGGGAUUAAAUCGUUUGGUCUUUGUUGGAAGUUCCCUGAUUGGAUUGGA